AGGAGGAGUACUCUUCGUUCAUAAGAGGAACCACCACCGUCCUUGGAGGGAUGCUCAAGAACCAUCCGGACCGUGAGGAGGAUGUUCUCUUGUUUGCUGGAAAGCACCCCAUGUCCUUGUUCUACCUCAGCAGUGCGUGUGACGAGUAUGUACGAGACAUCACCGGUACCUCCUCUUCAAGGAAAAGGCUCAGGGUUAAAAAUCUUGGGGUGCUGGAUCUCCGAACGGGUGCCAUGGACACGCGAGUGUACGAAGAUCCUGGGAAGAUGGACGAACCAGAAGGUUUCCUAGAUGAUGAGCAGGCGUGGCAGGCGGUGCUGCUGAAGUUUAAGCAGGGAGGACCAUUCAAAUCCAUACGGAAGUACAUCAACGAUUACAAGGGCCCGGAGGAAUCUUUACGUGAUCCUGCAUCGGUGUCCAAGAGUUUUGUCAGCGGAGAUGGUAGUUUCUGCACCGACUUCAUCCAUGCAGUCCAUUUAGAGGCAGCUUUGGAGCGCUUGAAGGGCCUGGUUUUCCGUUCGCCGACAUUCCAGGCCAUUGUGAAGGGUAAACUCGAUGACCCGGACAUCAUCUGGCCCCAGAUCGGAUGGGCCUGCGAGGGGUUUGUAGCAGAGGCUAUCAUGGCGGUGGGGCUGAAAUUCAAGCAGCGUGUGCGUCGUCCAGUGGAGCUGAAGAGUCUAAAUGGUGAACCCGUGCGGUUAGAUCCAAGGCAGUGGGAGCCUUUGAAGCCCGUGUACCUGAAACCAGGCAGGUACUCUUUCAAGUACAUUGACGGGGUUAUCGCGUGGGUUGACGAGAAAGGGGUGAUGCAUUUCUUAGCGCUUCAGGUGACGGUCAGCCUGGAGGGACACACCAAAACGGAGUAUCAGUUCAUGCAACGAGCACAAGUGGAACGCUGGUACACUGGACCCUGCAUCUGGUACUAUGUUUACCUCUGCCCUGUGAAGGUAGAAUCGUUGGAGGAGUCCCGGAAGGCUUCUUCUUCCAGAGGAGGUUCAUCGCCCACGUCCAGCAGGCCGGUUCAGUCACAAGAGACGUUGGUGGAGUACCAGAGGGAACAGCUCCAGUUUGAUCAGUGCUUUGAGCAAAAUCUGGGACAGGAGGAAGUGUUGCUCCUCCGGAAGCUCGGGGAAGUCAGGGAGAGGGAAAUGGAACGGAGGAAGAAGGCCAAAGCCAUGCAAGAGCACAGCUAUCGCCAACUUCUAAAGAGCUUGCCUCCUCGGAAAUGGGCACUCUACAAGAGACUGAAGACGAGAGAAUUGCUGGAAGUGGAGGCCAAGAAAUGCGGCAUCAGUGACCCGUCCCCCAAGAACUACAAGAACAUCUACGUCUUGCUUUCAGCCAUGGACGUUUAAAUUGGUUUCUCAGGAUUUUGGGAUUUAACCUGGGACUAUUUGGAGCUUCCAGAAGAUGUCCAUCAUCGUCCAGUCUCCUGUCUGGACGAUGACAACAGGAUCUAUCUUCUGCUGCAGAAACUAGAGGGUGGUGGCCCGGACUUAAAUCAGAUUCAGAACGGAGGUGGAAGAGCCAUUUUCUGGUGCCUAUCUGGUAUUUUCAGUUCAUCCGGCUGCACAUCUUAACCGUUCUACUCUGGUAGUCUGGGGAGGAAAGCUUGUCAUGGUGCGGCAGGACAGUAUUUUUGUUUUGAUCGUUAGAUGUUUGUGUGCUUUUCCUUUCUAGUUUGGUUUCCAACAAUCGUUUUCCUUUUUCCAGCAAUCGUUGAGUGCGAGUCCAUUUUGCAUAGAGAAGUGUGUGAUUCUCAAUGCAACAAGUGAUCAACGUUAACUACAUUCCUUUGAACAAUUUGGUCACCAUGGUCACGGUAUGGUGUUUCCCAGCCGAGAAAUGCGAUCGGUUGUGGCGUUUCUUCUCUACAGCAGCAUGGACCCGAGAACCUGAAAGCUGUUAAGGAGUUUUGGGGGCUGGCAAAGUGGGUACACCAAGCCAUGGCUGCUGAAGAGUCCGGUUUAGCAACACAGGCCAUCUUGUGCUACAUGUUUGAAAUCUAAAACAAAACAUUGUUAUAGUACUUUUCAUAUAACUCCAUUUACAUAUAGCUGCACAUUCCUUGGUCUCAGGUUGGUCAACCGCCACAGACUCAUGCCCACCAGACUCCUGCCAGUUAAUUGCCACAACCUUAGCUUGCUCAACUACUACAUGCAAUCUUUAUGCUUGGUUUAAUAGCAUGUUGGUGUUUAAAUUGUAGUUGACUUGUGAACUUCAUGAACUUGAAUAAGACAUAAGCACUAUACAUCUUUGAUUAUAUGGUGUGUUAUUUGUAAAUUCCCUAUAUUGUAGUUGCUCAGAAAACCCACAUGUGGCAUAGUCUAGGUGGCAUUCUCCAAUCUAGAUGCCAAUGAGAUGGACAUAUAGACUAUAAAAUGAUGGGUCAUACAUGUGGGUCAUAUAUGUAGCAUGGAUGACCAAUACCAUAUCCCAUUGUCUAAGUGUAACUUAGGGUUCUUGAGGAGGAAAGGGUUUUUAAUUUCACUAGUGUGGUUGUUGUGGCAGUGAAAUUGGUUUGGUUUUUUGGCAGUGCCUAGAGACAUCCAUAAUGAGUAAGUCUUGCUUAUAGCUCAAGUUUGUGAAAUUGGACUCAAAUGUAAAUGUUGUAAACAUGUGUAUAAAUUGCGGGGUUGCUAUUAGGAUUCAAUUCCAACACUUUUUCAUUUAGCAAGAGUGAAGAUGAAGAUGGAGAUCUUGACAUUUCAAUGCUGAGUAGAUGAAUCUUUGAAUUGGACAGUCUUCAUUAUGGUAUUUCUUGUAGGGCUUCAAUAAUUUUGUGAGGUUGAGGGGAUUUGCUAGUGCAGUGGCAUUUCAUAUAUGGAUGCCCUUGAAGAUUCUCGAAACAAAAACCAAAGCUUAUCUUGCAAAUGAUUUAUAUAUGUAGUGAAGUAACCUAAUGAAUUGAAAAUACCAUAUCAACACCAGAAAUAGCUCAAAAUUCUAAGGGCUCUUCUUCAUUUUGAAUAUGAGGUAAUAGUCACUUAUGCAGCCACCCUCUAGUUUUUGUAAUAGAAGAUAGGUUUUGUUGUUAGCCUUAUGGUUCCAAUUAUUUAUUGGAAGCUCUAAAUACUCUUAAGAUUCAUAGACUUUUGAGAAUAACACUUCUUCUCUUUGGAACCUACUACAUAUUUUUUUUGGGCCACAUAAAGUGGUGAAACUUCAAGGUCAAUUUUUUGCAAACUUAGAAAAUCCUGUAAAUUAAUCUUGGCUGUUAGUUUAGAUAUCUAGAGGGUUUAAGCUAUACAAGAUUUUAAGUUGUGCAAAAUUGCAAUGUCAUUGUAUUCAUGUGUAAAGAUAAUAAAGGGAAGGCAUGACAAUGGUGAUGCUAAUACUAAUAUUGUGGUGGGGAGGCACAAGAUGUUAUAGAUGAGCUUCUAAUUAUGUAACUUAUUUAGACAAGUUUUUGGCCAUUUGAUAGAAUGACAAAGAGGAGGUGUUAAAGAUAUUCUUGAAGUAAGUAAAUGUUAAAGAAAAUAGGCAACUGUUAGUUUUAGGGGAUGCCACUUAGGCACUAAAGGCAUUUUCAACAAACAUUUUAUCAUUUAUAAUGGUUUCAAAAGCCUCUAGGGCAAGUUAAGCAACUAAAAUCAUUUAGCUAGCAAUAGCGAGAGAUAGAGAUUAUGCUAUAGGGUUAAGACAAUUACUUGGUGGCUAGAGGAUAUAAGUUGUGGCUUAAGAUGAAACACUAGUGCUCAUAUAAUUUUUAUAUAUUUUUAAUUUAGUUGAAGUGAAAGAAGAGUCUCUCAUUUAAUAGUUUUGGGCAUAUAGAACUCAAAUAUUUCCAAUAACAAUGAUAUGGUGAAGCAUAAAGCUCUAAAAUUUCACAUUCUUCACUUUUGGAAUUUUUAUAGGCAAGUACUCUAUUCUUUUGUUGCUAAGUUGUGAGCAUGUCUAGACUAAAAAGUCAAUGUCGAAUGUAAAUUUCAUGUUAUGUAGUUUUGUACUAAUCUGCAUCUAGGAGAUGAAUAUGCAUAGUUGACUUUGGGAAAAAGGUAAGUCGUGCAUAUAACUUAAUGAGAAUAAUAAGUAAAGAUAUUAUAUGAUUGAAAAUUUUAUUUAAUAUAUAAAAGUCAAUUUCAGAGACAAGCAUACUUAGUCAUGACUAUUUUAAUAUUUUUUGAUAAGGUGGUUAGUGUUUAUUGACUUUGGUUAGGUGGUUCUAAACUUUAAAAUAUUGAUAAGAACUUGAGAUUUGUUGUGCAACACUUUAAUUGUUAACUUGAACACUUCACAUGAGUGGAUUGUGUAGAGUGCUAAUUAUUAUGAAAUGAGGCAUGCAAUGUAGAUUCAUGAUAUAAUCAUAGUUGUGAGAUAGUUAGUGUGAUUUUUUACUUUUUAAUAUAUUUCUUUGAACUAAUAUUAGGUUUGAAUAUAGGCUGAAUAAUAUUUGAAAUUUAAGUGUAAGUUAUUCCCAGUCACUAUUCAUAAAAAACUGAGGCCAUUUUACAUUAAGGGGAUUCAAGAGUUCAAUAGUUAUUAUUACUUACUCUGUAUACAACUGAAUAUGCUUUGUAUUGUUGUUUCACACUUAAGUGGGUUUGUUCAUGAGGUGAAUUAUGAUUACAUCUGUAGUACAUGCACAAAUCUGGAGCUUCCAUGCAUAGGUGAAAUCUCCAAGUUGACUAAGAUAAUUGCAAAUUUCCUUUGCCAUGUGAAGAGAGAAGAUUUUGCACCUAAAUAUCUUCAAAGGGAAUGUCAAUGUUGCACUUGUAAUAAGUUUAUUAUUUGUCAAAAUAUCAUAUUUGCAAAUCAAGUGGUGCUUAUGGACAAGUUAAAUACACAAAUAAUAAGGGUGUGCUAAAGAAGUGACUAUAGUUUAUAUAUCGUGAGGUAUUUAUGAAUUAAUUGGUUCAAUUUUUUAGGGAUAAUCUCAACUAUUAUACUUCUCAUUGUCACACAUACAAAUGGCAAGUAAAACAAUUGAAGUUGAUAUCAAAUGAUGUUCUAGAAAAUUCUAUUGUGUCAAUUAUUGAUUUUCCCAAUAAUUACUCCACUGUUUCUUAGGCACAAACUCAAAUACCAACAACAAUAACAACAAAAAUCCUCAAGCUUAAACCUCAACAACAUAUGAAAACUUAAUUUGAAUUUUUUUUCUCAUCAAGAUUUUUAAACAAUCAAGCUCUGAGUUGGAGUCAGUCCACUUUACUUGAAGGGUAAGCUUUUUAAAAAAGAACCAAACAGUAUCAAAACACAAACAACAAAUAGUACUACUAGUGUUUGCAACAUGUAAGUCUAAGGUGGUUAAGUUUAAAAACUCUAUUAUUAGUAAACUCUAUUAUUGGUAACAAGAUGAUAUAGGGAUUGAAUUUGAUUAUAGAAUCCCAUUUUUUUUAUGGUCUUCCUUGGUCAACUGCUCAUAUAUUUGAUUUGACUAAAGGUUGAAUUUUAGAAAAAUGAGGAGGCAACUGAAAUUAAACUAAUGACACAUCGACUACAUCCAACUACAACCAAUUGCUCUACCACUAAACUAUACCUACUUAGUAAUUAAAUGUAAUAAACUUAAUAAAAAUUGUUGUAUAGGCAAUGAGGAUCAUACUGAAUUUGAUUAUUUGAGCAAAGCUACUGUUAUAUUUGAGAACUACAUUAUCUUCUAUAAAGACCAUUUUCACAAGGUGAAAAUAAAGAGGCAAUAAGGAUUAAAUGCUACUGAACUAUACAUUUUUAAUCAUUAAAUGCAAUUAGUUUAACAUUAAUGUUUUGUGACCUAAUAAUGUAGUUGGUUUGUUAACAAGUUUGAUUUGGGUGAUGAAAGGUAUGUGAUAAGAUUUGCUAAUGAAAUAUUUUAAAGAAAGAGGUAAUAAAUUGAAUAGGUGAUAUGCAUAAUUACAAUUCUUCCUCAUGACCAAGAAAUUAUACUGUUGAGAUUAACAAAUAGACAAAGGCUUGUUAAUAUGGACUUGUUAAGUUGGUUGAUUGCUGAUAGACUAGGAUUUUCUUAGUAAAAAUAUUCAAUUUAAAUGAGUUUUUAAUUAUAUGCAUAAAAAAAUUAAUAAAAAGAAUUAUUAAAAUUAAAAAUUAAGUAUCUAGUAGAACAUCUGUGGUGGCAGGAUGAGAGGUGUCACUUCACAUGCAUACAUCAUGGCUAUCAAUAUGGUAUUUUACUUUGAUAUUAAUAUUAUAUUUUUAUAUAUCAAAACUUUUGAUAUAACCAAAAAACUAUUCUUCGAAAAAUGGAAGAAAUUUAUUUAAGCUUUUCUUUGUGCCUAAGCCACAAUUGAGCUUAAGUUAUUUUGGAAUUUUUAUAUUUGCAGAAGCCAUAAUCAAGUUAACAAAUUAAAAGGAGAGCAUAACAAACUCCAAGCUACAUAAGAGUGUCUUUGAUCACCAAACUUUUGGCAAUCUUAGAUUUGAGCUGGUAUGUUCUAAUGAAGAUACUCUUAGGAAGAUUCUUGUAUAUACUCUUCAAGAAGAUUCCCGGAAUAAACUAUUUCCGUAAAGUAAGGUGGUGAAAAGGCUGGCUGUGAAGAAGCUGAAGCAAUGCAGGCAGCAACUGGCCGAUCUCCCUGACGACUUGCUUCUUCUCAUCCUGAGCAGAUUUAACGAUGGAUUCGAGCAAUCCAAACAGCUUCCCAGCUUAAGGCUUGGAUUGAAAUUCUGGUUUGCUAUAGAUCCCAUGUUCCUCGUCAGUAUGGAAACUUUACACUCUCUAGAGCUAGUAUCCCCAUCACGAUGGACCUCUAGGCCUGCAGAUGUUAACCAGUUACUCUGUCCAUUGCUACAGGUUUGUGAGAUAGAUUGUAUUACAGGCCGCAAAGGGAGAUCAACAUUACAGGCUAUGCUAUAGGAUGUGUGGGUUCCUUGUUAAGUCUCCAAUGCUGGAAACACUAGAGCUUAUUAAAGGGACUCGAUGAUUAUCCAGACCUGCGUUACAUGCUGGUUAGAUCUCUAUCAAAUAAGAACAGAGCCCGACCUGAGAACAGAUCGUCCGCUCUCGAGCCCGGCUCUGUUCUCGGGCUUCUUGUCAAACAACGGGGCUCGCCCUCCGGAGAAUCGGAGAUUCACGGCUGAUCACCGAUUUGGGCAGCUCAAAGAAAACCUUGAAAGCAGGGCAUAUGUGCUCGUGUCUCACCUCCUAGCGGCCGGAAUUCAGGUUAGGGUUCUUGGCAGCUGCCAUGCUUGCAAGAAAGAAGGCGGAGGCGAAGCGUGUGAAGGCGCGGCUCCGCGAUGUGGAUUUCGCCAGGCUUCAGGCUCCAGGCCGGUCGCAGACGUUGCCCUUUCCAGGUUUGAGUACCUCCGCCGUAGGCAAGAGGCCACCACGGGAAUUUGAGUUUGUGGGUCGUUCGGCGUACUCGGACAUCAUGAGGCUGGUUAUAGAAGAAGACCCACAAUCCCCGACUCGGGGCCUGCUCAUUACUGGUGCCAGGGGGAAAGGAAAGAGUUGCAUGUUGCGAGCGGUUGCAGUGGAGCUUGUUGGACGCUCUCAACGAGCAAUAUGCUUUUGGUACCUGGACGCUUGUCAGGACGUGCUGCGCCAAGUUCAGGACUCUCUUCUGUUUGCAUACAGUGACAGUGAGGAAGCGCUUGCAGAGAUUGAACGCGUCAGCUCUGUGGAGUCGUUGUCUGGCUUUCUCGAGGGCAGAAAGGCGGCUGGGGAUUUUAUUUUCUUUGUGAGUGAUGAUGAGGAGAACUACGAUGAUCAACACAAGGAUGGUACUUCACGCAGGCGAGCUGAGGCGAAGAAGUGGCUGGAAGCUUUGCAAAGAGGGUGCGACGUUGUAAUCAAGACCUUGUCGCCUGAAGCUCAUGACGUGAGAGUGGGCGCAAGCCAGAUGGAAGAGUACGAGCUGAAAGAUAACUUUGGCGAGGUAAGCCUCAUUCCCUUUUGUUUUUUCCGGGUGCUUUUUUAUUGAAUUAUCCGCGCUACAGGAGGAGUAUUCUUCGUUCAUAAGAGGAACCACCACCGUCCUUGGAGGGAUGCUCAAGAACCAUCCGGACCGUGAGGAGGAUGUUCUCUUGUUUGCUGGAAAGCACCCCAUGUCCUUGUUCUACCUCAGCAGUGCGUGUGACGAGUAUGUACGAGACAUCACCGGUAUCUCCUGUUCAAGGAAAAGGCCCAGGCUUAAAAGUUUUGGGAUGAUAGAUGUCCAAACGGGUGAAACGCGAGUGUACGAAGAUCCUGGGAAGAUGGAACUAGAGGGUUUCCUAGAU
rnacentral:lncRNA from 1 species